rnacentral:rRNA from 1 species
UACGUAGGGGGCGAGCGUUGUCCGGAUUUAUUGGGCGUAAAGAGCGUGUAGGCGGCCAGGUAGGUCAGCUGUGAAAACUCGAGGCUCAACCUCGAGAUGUCGCCGGAAACCAGUCGGCUAGAGUCCGGAAGAGGAGAGUGGAAUUCCUGGUGUAGCGGUGAAAUGCGCAGAUAUCAGGAAGAACACCUAUGGCGAAAGCAGCUCUCUGGGACGGUACUGACGCUGAGACGCGAAAGCGUGGGGAGCGAACAGG